UUUUGGACAUUGGUGUUUAAGAUAAAUUAUUAUUUACUCUAUGAAUAUUAUAAUAUUUACAGUUUCAUCCUUAAUUUACAAUUAUUUAUAAUUUCUUCAUCUACUUCUCUCUCUCUGCAUAUCUCUCUCUCUCAUUUAUCUGUUUCUCAGUCUCUCUCCCAUCUUUUUCCUCUCUUUCCCUUAUUUCUCUGUCUUUUUUUGUUCCCUCUCCAUCCCAUCAAAGAGAGAUAGAUACAGAAGAGAGAGAAAAGUAGUGAGGGAGAGAGAUGGAUAGAAAUGUGACAGGGUGGACAAAGAAGAAAAUGGGGGGAAGCGGAAGAAACAUUAAUGAGAGAGAGAGAGACAGACAGAAGAGAGAUAAAAAUGAGAGGGAGAGGGGCAAAGUGAUGUAAAGAAACAACAAAUAAUUAUAAAAUUAAAGGAUAAAUUAUAAAUAAUUGUAAUAUAUAAAUAUAUAGUGAUUAGAAAGAUGUGAGGUUUCCUUGUCCCCAAUCCGACAAGAGCAAAGAAGAGUACAGAAAGAAGCAUGCUCAUAAUGUCAAAAAACAGACAAAAGAAAUGGUUCCUCCUCAUUUCUCAAUCCUCAUCUAUCUAUAUUCUAUCUCUUUCAAACCUAAUAAUUUUACCAAAUCAUCCCAUUUUCGCAACACACCAAACCCAUUUUACCAUUCAAUCCAAUCCAUUAACCGUACCCUUUCUAUUCCAACAAUCAUACCUCGGCCAUGGCUACUUCUUCCAUGGCUGAGACCGCCAGCACCAGUGGAUCAUCAUCUUUAUCAUCUCCAAUUAUUAACUUGGCUCCUGACCAUCUCUUCUCAAUCUUACUUCUACUUCCCAUAGAUUCGAUUCUCUCGUUUUCUAUGACCUGCAAGAGAUUCAGGUCCUUCACAAGCUCUGAUGCUUUCUGGGAGUCCAUUUGCAAGAGAGACUGGGGACCCACAUCAGUUGAUGCCCUUAAGUCUUCUGCCAAUAAUCAAAACUUGUCAUGGAUGAGGUUGUACAAGCAGGUCUCGCAGCUUGACUCGGUUACUUGCCAUAAGUUGUCUGACGCAGAUCCUGAAUCGGUGCUUCCUAAACCCAGGGCUUCUCACUCUCUCAACUCUGUGUCUGAUUGCUUGGUUUUGUUUGGUGGUGGCUGUGAAGGAGGACGCCAUCUUGAUGACACAUGGGUGGCAUAUCUAGGGAAUGGUGUUCGAAGGACCUUCAAGUGGCAGAAGGUUGAUUCAGGAGUUCCAAGUGGCAGAUUUGGGCAUACAUGUGUUGUUUUUGUCCAUCACCUUGUCCUCUUUGGAGGGAUUAAUGAUUGUGGGAUCCGUCAAAAUGAUACAUGGAUUGGGCAACUAGUCUUUAGUGAUAACCUCUGUAUCUCACUCUCAUGGAGACUACUCAAUGUACAAUCCCAUGCACCACCACCACGAGGGGCUCAUGCUGCAUGUUAUUUUGAUCAAAGGAAGAUGGUUAUCCAGGGAGGAAUUGGGUUGCACGGCGUUAGAUUAGGUGACACUUGGGUUUUGGAACUUUCAGAAAAUCUUUGUUUUGGAACAUGGCACGAACUUGUUGCUCAUCCAUCACCUCCUCCUCGUUCAGGACACUCAUUAACGUGCAUUGGAGGAACUAGAAUGGUUUUAUUUGGUGGAAGAGGAUUGGGAUAUGAGGUGUUAAAUGAUGUUUGGCUGUUGCAGAUAUUUGAUGGUCAGCUAAAAUGGGUGCAGAUGUGUUUUGAAUUGCAAAACAUACCUGAAGGAGUCUCGCUCCCACGAGUUGGUCAUUCAGCUACGCCAAUUUUGGGAGGUCGGGUGCUAAUAUAUGGAGGUGAAGAUUCAUACAGACGUAGGAAGGAUGACUUUUGGGUGUUAGAUAUUAGUUCAAUUGUAUACACUCAAGUUCAGCCAACUGCAUUGCGUGCAAAUAUGUGGAAAAGGUUGAAGUCAAAAGGUUAUAAACCAAACAGCAGGUCAUUUCAUCAAGCUUGUGCUGAUAAUUCAGGGCGUCAUUUGUACAUGUUUGGUGGGAUGGUGGAUGGCUUACUUCAACCUACUGAGGCAUUUGGGUUGACAUUUGAUGGGGAGCUCUUCCUUGUGGAACUUUGUUUUAAACAGGAAUAGAAAGGUACUAGCCUAUCAUGGAGUACUUUUGAGGAUGCUGUUCUAUUAUAGGCUUAGGCUUGCAUAAAAUAGUUCUCUCAUAUGCCACAUUAGUUGCUGUCCAUAUGUUUCAUGCAUCAAUAUUUAUAGUAAUAAGUGGCUUUUAGGACUUGUUUAUGAUGUUGAAAUAAUCUUCUAUAUAUAAAGAGAACUUUACUAGAGUUCAACAGCAUAUUGCAUGCCUGUUGUGGUGGAUAUUUUAUAUACGCCAAAAUAAUGUCUCUUGUGUACAGCAAAUAUGAGCUUUUAUAUACAACAAAAAGGAAAAGGUCAUAUGUUGGCAACUUUCUAUCCAAUCCAUAAAGGAGCUUUCUAUACCCAAAAAAAGAAAAAGGGAAGAAGAAUAAGUCAUUCAAA
rnacentral:misc_RNA from 1 species